rnacentral:rRNA from 1 species
AUUGAACGCUAGCGGCAGGCUUAAUACAUGCAAGUCGAGGGGCAGCAGUUUUGUAGCAAUACAGAAGCUGGCGACCGGCAAACGGGUGCGGAACACGUACGCAACCUUCCUUUAACUGGAAGAUAGCCCACCGAAAGGUGGAUUAAUACUCCAUAACAUAUUGAAGAGGCAUCUCUUUGAUAUUAAAGCUCCGGCGGUUAAAGAUGGGCGUGCGUCUGAUUAGGUAGUUGGCGGGGUAACGGCCCACCAAGCCUUCGAUCAGUAGCUGAUGUGAGAGCAUGAUCAGCCACACGGGCACUGAGACACGGGCCCGACUCCUACGGGAGGCAGCAGUAAGGAAUAUUGGUCAAUGGACGCAAGUCUGAACCAGCCAUGCCGCGUGGAGGAUGAAGGCCCUCUGGGUUGUAAACUUCUUUUCUUUGGGACGAAACCCCUGUUUCUACGGGGACUGACGGUACCAGAGGAAUAAGCACCGGCUAACUCCGUGCCAGCCGCCGCAGUAACAC